GACGAACGCUGGCGGCGUGCUUAACACAUGCAAGUCGAACGGAAAGGCCUUGCUUUUGUGGGGUGCUCGAGUGGCGAACGGGUGAGUAACACGUGAGUAACCUGCCCUUGACUUUGGGAUAACUUCAGGAAACUGGGGCUAAUACCGGAUAGGAGCUCCUGCUGCAUGGUGGGGGUUGGAAAGUUUCGGCGGUUGGGGAUGGACUCGCGGCUUAUCAGCUUGUUGGUGGGGUAGUGGCUUACCAAGGCUUUGACGGGUAGCCGGCCUGAGAGGGUGACCGGAGACAUAGGGAAUGAGAUAAGGCAGAGAGGCAGACGGGAGGCAGAAGGGGGGAAGAUUGAAAGAUGGGCGGAAGAAGGAUGCAGCAACGCCGCGUGGGGGAUGAAGGACUGCGGGUUGUAAACCGGUUGCGCCUGUGAAGAAGCGGGAGUGAAGGUAAUGGGUAAAGAAGCACCGGCUAAAUACGUG
rnacentral:rRNA from 1 species